UACAGAGGGGGGCAAGCGUUGUCCGGAAUUACUGGGCGUAAAGAGCUCGUAGGCGGUUUGUCGCGUCGUCCGUGAAAACUUGGGGCUCAACCCCAAGCUUGCGGGCGAUACGGGCAGACUUGAGUACUGCAGGGGGAGACUGGAAUUCCUGGUGUAGCGGUGAAAUGCGCAGAUAUCAGGAGGAACACCGAUGGCGAAGGCAGAUCUCUGGGCCGUAACUGACGCUGAGGAGCGAAAGCAUGGGGGAGCGAACAGG
rnacentral:rRNA from 1 species